rnacentral:rRNA from 1 species
UACGAAGGGGGCUAGCGUUAUCCGGAAUUAUUGGGCGUAAAGAGCUCGUAGGCGGUUUGUCGCGUCUGCCGUGAAAGUCCGGGGCUCAACUCCGGAUCUGCGGUGGGUACGGGCAGACUAGAGUGAUGUAGGGGAGACUGGAAUUCCUGGUGUAGCGGUGAAAUGCGCAGAUAUCAGGAGGAACACCGAUGGCGAAGGCAGGUCUCUGGGCAUUAACUGACGCUGAGGAGCGAAAGCAUGGGGAGCGAACAGG